CUGGGGGGCUGUGAAAUUUGGGCUAAAAUCGCCCUUUUUUGGGGCAUUUUGGGUCAGAAGUGCCAUUUUUUGUUCUAAGCGCACAAAUUGGAGCCAUUUGGGGUCCAUUUGAGCCAUUUUGGGGUCAAAUUUGUGCCUUUUUGGGUCUGUUUUGGAGUAUUCAAGUUUUGGGCUAAAAUCGCCGUUUUUUGGGUCAUUUUGGGUCGGAAUUGCAAUUUUUGUUCUAAGCGCACAAAUUGGAGCCGUUUUGGGUCCAUUUGAGCCAUUUUUUGGGUCAAAUUUGUGCCUUUUUGGGUCUGUUUUGGGGCCUUUAAAUUUUGGGGUAAAAUCGCUCCUUUUUGGGGUCAUUUUUGUGUUAAAAUCGCAUUUUUUUUGUUAAAAUUUCCCAUUUUUGUAUCCGGAAAUCCCAUUUUGGGGUUAAAAAGUGCCAUUUCAGGGCUUAAAAGUCCCAUUUUUGGGUUAAAAAAGCCCCAUUUUUGGGGCUGAAAGUCCCAUUUUUUAGUCUCCAAAUCCCAUUUUUGGGGUCAAAAAAUCCCAUUUUGGGCUCAAAAAGUGCCAUUUUUUUUCCUACAAACCCCAUUUUUGGGUCCCGGAAUCCCAUUUUGGUUCUAAAAGGGCCAUUUUUGGGGCCACAAAUCCUCUUUUUGGGUCCAGAAGUCCCCUUUUUGGGUCCUGGAUUCCCAUUUUGGGGUCCAAAAGGGCCAUUUUUGGGUCCAAAAGUGCCAUUUUUGGGUCCAAAAUCCCAUUUUUGGGGCCAAAAGUCCCAUUUUUGGGACCAGAAAUCCCCUUUUUUGGGUCCAGAAGUCUUAUUUUUGGGUCCAAAAGGGCCAUUUUUGGGUCUAAAAGUUCCAUUUUGGGGUCCAAAAGGGCCAUUUUUGGGGUCCCGAAGUCCCAUUUUUGGGUCUCAAAGUCCCAUUUUGGGGCCAGAAAUCCCAUUUUUGGGCCCCAUAGUCCCUUUUUUGGCUCUCGGAGUCCCAUUUUUGGGGCCAGAAAUCCCCUUUUUUGGCUCCCGGAAUCCCCUUUUUGGGUCCAAAAAGCCCAUUUUUGGGUCCCAAAGUCCCCUUUUUGGGUCCCAAAGUCCCCUUUUUGGGGUCAGAAGUCCCAUUUUUGGGUCUAAAAGUCCCAUUUUGGGGUCCAAAAGGGCCAUUUUGGGGUCCAAAAGUCCCCUUUUUGGGGCCAGAAAUCCC
ensembl:lncRNA